GACGAACGCUGGCGGCGUGCUUAACACAUGCAAGUCGAACGAUGAAGCCGGAGCUUGCUCUGGUGAAUUAGUGGCGAACGGGUGAGUAACACGUGAGUAACCUGCCCUUGACUCGGGGAUAACUGCUAGAAAUGGUAGCUAAUACCGGAUACGACCCUCGGAGGCAUCUCCAGGGGGUGGAAAGAAUUUCGGUCAAGGAUGGACUCGCGGCCUAUCAGCUAGUUGGUGAGGUAACGGCUCACCAAGGCGACGACGGGUAGCCGGCCUGAGGGGGUAACCGGCCACACUGGGACUGAGACACGGCCCAGACUCCUACGGGAGGCAGCAGUGGGGAAUAUUGCACAAUGGGCGCAAGCCUGAUGCAGCAACGCCGCGUGAGGGAUGACGGCCUUCGGGUUGUAAACCUCUUUUAGUAGGGAAGAAGCGAAAGUGACGGUACCUGCAGAAAAAGCACCGGCUAACUACGUGCCAGCCGCCGCCGUAAAAC
rnacentral:rRNA from 1 species